CACACAGAGCAGAACAGGACUGUGCUGAACAAAGAAGUGAGCUCAGUUUGGUUCGCAUACCUGUUAUACAUGGGAUGAGUGAGGAGUUUGCGCCCUUGGUAGGCGGAGCAAGUUUCACGGUGCAUCAUGAUGAAAUAAAGAUUUGCACCAGUCGAA